CACACCAAGCAAGCAGGUAGCUGGAAAUUCACUGCCCCCACCAAUCUUCUUUCUGGGUUGUAGGAAGGCUCGAUCGAAGAAGUUAACACCAGGCAAUCAUUUCAGAAACAAGACCGAGGAAGUCAUGCACUUCGUGAAGCUGUCAAGAGCACACCAGUUCCCUGUGCCUUGUUCAGACUGGAAGUGUAGCCCUGUAGAAACUGCGCUGAAGGGAAUCCGGAAAACACCUUGGUUGGCCUUUGAAUACUUUUUUAAGGGACAUAUUUUUUUUAAGUCUCUCAGAGUCACUUUUCAGUUAAAACUGCUUUGGGAAUGGGUAGGCUUUAGCAUUGAAAGUGACCGAAGAUAAAACAGAAUGGAGCAAAGUUUGUUCUCCUCUAGAAAUGGCCACCAAAAAGUCCAGGGUCCCCUUAAGAUGGAGUUUAGAUAGUACCUACUUUUAAAAUAACUUUACCAAUUUCUUAAUUGAAAAAAAAAAAA
rnacentral:lncRNA from 1 species